rnacentral:rRNA from 1 species
AGCGAACGCUGGCGGCAGGCCUAAAACAUGCAAGUCGAACGCCCUAGCAAUAGGGAGUGGCGCACGGGUGAGUAACAUGUGGGAAUAUGCCUUUUGGUACGGAACAACGUUUGGAAACGAACGCUAAUACCGUAUGGUCCCUCCGGGGUAAAGAUUUAUCGCCAAAAGAUUAGCCCGCACUAGAUUAGCUAGUUGGUAAGGUAAUGGCUUACCAAGGCGACGAUCUAUAGCUGUUCUGAGAGGAAGAUCAGCCACACUGGGACUGAGACACGGCCCAGACUCCUACGGGAGGCAGCAGUUAGGAAUAUUGGACAAUGGGCGCAAGCCUGAUCCAGCCAUGCCGCGUGAGCGAUGAAGGCCUUCGGGUUGUAAAGCUCUUUAGCCGACGAAUAUAAUGACUGUAGUCGGAGAAUAAGCCCCGGCUAACUUCGUGCCAGCCGCCGCCGUAAGAC